rnacentral:rRNA from 1 species
GAUGAACGCUAGCGGGAGGCCUAACACAUGCAAGCCGAGCGGUAUUGUUUCUUCGGAAAUGAGAGAGCGGCGUACGGGUGCGUAACACGUGUGCAACCUGCCUUUAUCUGGGGGAUAGCCUUUCGAAAGGAAGAUUAAUACUCCAUAAUAUAUUGAACGGCAUCGUUUAAUAUUGAAAGCUCCGGCGGAUAGAGAUGGGCACGCGCAAGAUUAGCUAGUUGGUGAGGUAACGGCUCACCAAGGCGAUGAUCUUUAGGGGGCCUGAGAGGGUGAUCCCCCACACUGGUACUGAGACACGGACCAGACUCCUACGGGAGGCAGCAGUGGGGAAUAUUGGUCAAUGGGUGCAAGCUUGAACCAGCCAUCCCGCGUGAAGGACGACUGCCCUAUGGGUUGUGAACUUCUUUUGUAUAGGGAUAAACCUACCCUCGUGAGGGUAGCUGAAGGUACUAUACGAAUAAGCACCGGCUAACUCCGUGCCAGCCGCCGCCGUAA